AUGCCAAUAUAAUUAGUAUCAAGCCUUAACUUUAGUUCAGAAACAUAGUUGAAACUUUUAAGCCAAGAGAAAAUAGUGGAAACAAUGUUUCACUCACUGACAGUCAAGUAGUCUAUUCACAGUCAAUGCGGAGCUCCACAAUGCAGCGAUUUUAAUGGCUGCCGUUCCCAGGUUCCGAGUGGUGAAAAGUUAACUUUACCCUCUUUUUCUGCAGGCAGAUAAUGUCUAAAAGUCCUCCCCCUUUUCCCCUGCAACCAAGGGGGGGUUCGCUAUUUUUAUACUGGAGAUUUAGAAGUCAAAAGCAGUCUUUCAGUCUUUCAAACCUCUUUGCUUCCAACUAUUUACAAAAAGAGGAAGGCGGACUUCCUGUUUUGCGCCUCCCCCGUUCGUAGCCGAAUUCAACUUUUUAAAGAUCCAAUUUCUUCACUUUACUCACAGGUAAUUACUUUAGAUCCGAAUGUCCACAGGAAAAAGUCAGCGCUCCCCGGCAAUGGCUGUGCGGCUUCACUCCGUGAAAGUAGCAGUCAGUUCACUGUACCGCGCCACUCACCCCACUCGCUCCGGAGCCAUUAAAUGGGAUUCCCCGCAAGUAGGGGGCGCUCCAGGUGCCCUGCCGAACCCCCACAUUCCCAGGCUUCCUCCACCUGAGAUUUCUAGCGGAUCCCCACCUUAGCCGUGGCGGGCGACCCAGUUUUCACGGAGCCAGUUCCUCCGCUUAGAGGAGCUCCGCCAUUAGCCGCUGGCGCUGACCCCGGAAGUCUCCACGCUUUCUGUUCUCAUCCUGAAGCAAAGUUCUUAACCUGAGGUACUAUUUCUGGGUUAGCGGAGUCUGUAAACUGAAGUGUCUGUAACUGGAAGCGUAUAUAACCCGAGGUACCACUGUAUAUUAGAACUUUGUACUAAAAUGC